ACCAGCUCUUCAAGUGGUCGGGAUGAUUAUUGGGCUUAAAGUGUCCGUAGCCGGUUUAGUAAGUUCCUGGUAAAAUCAGGUAGCUUAACUAUCUGUAUGCUAGGAAUACUACUAUACUAGAGGGCGGGAGAGGUCUGAGGUACUACAGGGGUAGGGGUGAAAUCUUAUAAUCCUUGUAGGACCACCAGUGGCGAAGGCGUCAGACUGGAACGUGCCUGACGGUGAGGGACGAAAGCCAGGGGAGCGAACCGGAUUAGAUACCCGGGUAGUCCUGGCUGUAAACGAUGCAUACUAGGUGAUGGCCCGGCCAUGAGCCGUGUCAGUGCCGUAGGGAACCGUUAAGUGUGCCGCCUGGGAAGUACGGUCGCAAGGCUAAAACUUAAAGGAAUUGGCGGGGAGCACCACAAGGGGUGAAGCCUGCGGUUC
rnacentral:rRNA from 1 species